rnacentral:rRNA from 1 species
GAUGAACGCUGGCGGCGUGCCUAAUACAUGCAAGUCGAGCGAACGGACGAGAAGCUUGCUUUUCUGAUGUUAGCGGCGGACGGGUGAGUAACACGUGGAUAACCUACCUAUAAGACUGGGAUAACUUCGGGAAACCGGAGCUAAUACCGGAUAAUAUUUUGAACCGCAUGGUUCAAAAGUGAAAGACGGUCUUGCUGUCACUUAUAGAUGGAUCCGCGCUGCAUUAGCUAGCUGGUAAGGUAACGGCUUACCAAGGCAACGAUGCAUAGCCGACCUGAGAGGGUGAUCGGCCACACUGGAACUGAGACACGGUCCAGACUCCUACGGGAGGCAGCAGUAGGGAAUCUUCCGCAAUGGGCGAAAGCCUGACGGAGCAACGCCGCGUGAGUGAUGAAGGUCUUCGGAUCGUAAAACUCUGUUAUUAGGGAAGAACAUAUGUGUAAGUAACUGUGCACAUCUUGACGGUACCUAAUCAGAAAGCCACGGCUAACUACGUG